UAGGAUGGCGUGCCAGUUACUACUUCUCCC
rnacentral:piRNA from 1 species